ensembl:lincRNA
CACCAGCGUUUUCAGCUUCAGUUCACAUUUGCUUUUUUUUUCACUGACUUGUGACCAGCCAGUAAUUCUCUGAUGUUACUUAUCUUGAAGCUUCCUCUGAUUUACUGGUCCUUUCUUUAGAAGGAUGAAAUGACCGUGCUUUUUUUUUUCUUUCCUACAUUUAUUUACACUAUUUGGAGUUUAAAUGUUAGUGCUCCUUCUUUUAUAAAUUUGGGUAUGUCUGAUCUGGUUUCUCAACAGCACUCGUUCAGUGGCUCGGUCAUACUGUCUCCGCAGUUCCUUGUCUUUCCUCACGGUUACAAGAUGGCCGCUGCUGUCGUGAGCAUUGUGCCUCAAUUGGAGAGGACUGGGGGGGUGAGUGGAGGUGGAAAAGAGGGUGAGUUGACAAAGGCUGUCUCUUGUUUUAGGAAAGGAAGAAUUUCCCAGAGUCUUCCCGGUCAUUGGCUAGAAUUUGGUUACAUGACCUUCGGCUGAGAGGAAAAUAGAAGUGUUACUAUUGGUUAAGACGAUGAAUUCCCAAUAUGGAGGUGGGGUGGGAGAAUGGGGUGUUGGUGGGGGUGGAGUUGCUAUCAUCCCUAGCGGGGAGAACCCUAGACUUUGGAACCCUUUGAAAUCUUCCGAUACCCAAAUCUAUAAUCAUAUUUCCAUGAUUGUCUCAGAAAAUCUUUUUACAGUUGAUUUAAAAUUCAGCAUCCAAAGCAAGUCCACCCAUUUAUAUAGCUAAGACUUAUGUAUCUUUAAUAAUUAUUUUUAAUGAAAAAAUUAAGUGUUGCAGGAAGACACUUAAGAGUCAUAGUUGAUGUCUUGGAGUCAUAUUGGGUCCACAGCAAGUUGUUUGCUUAUAUGUAGAUGAUACAAAGACGAGAAAUGAUUUUGCAAGCAGUGGAGUCUUAAAUGAUUGUGAGAUAACCAGUUCUGGUAGUUCCAUUGCUGUUUGUAACAAAUGAAAAAAUGAAAGGCAAUGGAAAAAGAGAAGAGUAUUUUUAUUUUGUUUUUGGUCAGAAUGGUCUUUCUGUGCCCUACCUGCUUCACUUGUAAAAUGGGAAUAUUAAUAAAAUAAUCCUACUUCCUAGAUUAUGAUGUUCAAAUGAAAAUCUUCCUGAGUAGCUGAAUUUAGCUGUAUAUCCACAGUUUCACAGUAUUUCCCCAACCUGAAGGUCAUCCCAGUGCUUAAAAAGAUACAGAUUUCCUGGCUUCACCCAGGCCUGAAUGAGAAUCUCAAUUGCUUUUCCUAGAAAUCAUGGACAAUGACAUUUUGCAGAGUUAAUGAUGCUUCCCAGGGGCUGUGUGUUGGGUUGCCAAAUGCUUACUGAACACCUUAGUUAUGAUUAUUGCUGUGAACCCAGGUGCUCCCAGGUGAUGCCUUGGGGAUGGAUUAGAACAGGGAUUCUUAAUCAGGAGUCCAUGGACCCUGGGGUCCAUGGAAAGAUUUCAGGGGGUCUGUGUGCUUAAAUUGAAAAAAAAAAAAUCAACUAAAUACAUUUAUUUUCUCUGACCUCUAAUUGAAACCUAGUAUUUCCUUCACUUAUGAAUGCAAGCAAUAAAUUAGAGUAGUAUUCAUUUCCUAUCACAUUACAAUUGUUGCAUAUCUCAAAAAAUUGCUUAUGCUCAUCCACACUUCGAAAUUACAGUAGUUCUUAGAUCUGAUGCUAGUUGAGUGUCAUAAAACUAUCUGCUGCUGUAUUCUGACAAGGGGUCUGUGGUUUUCACCUGACUGGCAAAGGGUCUUGUGGAACAAAAAAGUUUAAGAACCCCAGAUUAGAAUUUCUCGGUUUACUUUGUUUCAUGUGUAACAUCUAGCAUAGUGCCCAGCAGAUAGAGUGCCAUAAAUAUUUGAGGGAAGAAUACAUGACUAGGAUAUUGAUGAGCAUUCAGAUUAAGGACAAUUCAGAUUAUCAAUUCACAGAUGAUAGAAAAAACUGGUGGGCCACUAGAGCUGCCUAAGUCAGAAGGGGCCCAGGCUUAGAUUGGAAUGGCCUAGAAAACAGCACUAAUGUCCACUAAAUUUGACUUCUGUUGCCUCACAUCUUUCCUGUAUACUUUGUGUGUGUGUGCCUUUUUGUGAAACUUUCCCCUCCAAUCAAAACUGCCUUGAAGAAAGAAUGGGAGUGGAAGUACGUUCAUAUAAAUGUCAAAAUGGUAAAAAAAAAAAAAAAAAAAAGGCUUUACUGCCCGAGGAUAUUUGCAUUUCAGCAAAGCACCAAGCGACAAAAAUCAUCCAGUGGUGGAGAAGCGGCUGUGCCUCAAUCAGUUGGGCUCCCGUCUACCAUAUGGGAGGCAGGCUCCCCCCACACUGCAGAGAGCUGCCCAGUCCACAGACUCGGUGGAGAGCCGACUCAGCAAGGUGAUGGGGGGAGGGGGGGAGACAAGCAAAAACACGGAAGAGCGCAGUGAAUGGACAUAGAGAACGAACAGCAUGCAAAAAACUACAAGGGGGCAGGGCGCUAAAAAAAAAUCAUCCAAUGAUGGAUGAGAUGUUUAGUAGACAGUACUUCCUAAGACCUUGAUGUCACCCCGUGUAGGAGGGUACCUUCUAGUAAGGCUAUCCCCUAAGGGGACUUGAGGGUUGCCCGAGUGCCAAUUGGCUGGAUAUUUGAGGACUGGAAUUUCUUGCAGGGGAUGAUUGUUAUCAGUGAGCACGGCAGCUGUUGCUGAUAGAUUGGAGAGCUACUUCCUUUGUUGACUCUUGAAGUCACCCAUGUAGGAGGGUUUCCCUAAGAUGGUUAUUUCAGGCUAAGAAGAUUGCUAUGGGGAUCUUAUCUGAUCAGAUGCUUCUUAAAAAUGAGGGGCCCAGAACCCUCUCUUCUCUGCAUGAAUAUCAGUAAGGACUCAAAAUGGAAAAGACACUGGAAUUCAGUGGGGAAGUCAUUAAAGGGAGAAGAGAUACUGGAGUUUCAUGUCAUAGAGCAGGGGUUCUUAACCAGGGGCCCAUGGAAACAUUUCAAGGGUUCCAUGAGCUUGAAUUGAAAAAAAAUCAACUUAUUGUCUUUUCCUCUGACGUCCAAUGUUUAGCGUCAUAAAACUAUCUGCCACUACACUCUGAGUAGGGGUCCAUGGUUUUCACCUGACCAUCAGAGGAACCCCUGUCAUAGAGAAAGGGAAGCCGUCUAUAUCUAUAUCAUGAAAAAGGAAGGGACAGAGUUUAACUCACAGAGAGUAGACACUAUACUGAAGUUUCCUGCAACCCUGUUCUGGAAAAAUGGAAAGAAUGAGUUUCACUCUUCUACUUUCUGAUUUGACAUUCUCUCUUUCUCUCUCUCUGCAUGUAUAUUUCUUGGGCUAGGUUACUAGGUUAGAAAAGCUUUAUGGGAAAUGGAAAUGGAACACUGAGUCUCCUGGGAAGUUGCCAUAUUUAAUGUUACUAAGUAAGACUUAUCAAUAUAAAACAAAACAGAAACCAAAAAUUCUCUUUGGCAAAUAAACUCAAUGAUUUGCUGGUUCCUGGGUCUGGUUGAGAGAACCAAUAAUGAUAACAGAUUGUGAGGGUGUUGUUACCACAGAUGAGAGAGGUGAUGGAGGCAAACAUUCUAGUUGGUACCUGGGGAGAAUGAUUCUUUUCAGCUGUAUAAUUCUAGAACAAUUGGCCCUAUACAACUGCAUAUGCCCCCUUGGUUAUAAUGUUCCUUCCCCUAUUCAUUUGCACAAAGCAUGGAAGACUGUGAAGACUUCCUUGAUAUAGUGCAUGUUCUUUAGUUUCCACAGU